rnacentral:rRNA from 1 species
GAUGAACGCUGGCGGCGUGCCUAAUACAUGCAAGUCGAGCGAACAGAUGAGGAGCUUGCUCCUCUGACGUUAGCGGCGGACGGGUGAGUAACACGUGGAUAACCUACCUAUAAGACUGGGAUAACUUCGGGAAACCGGAGCUAAUACCGGAUAAUAUAUUGAACCGCAUGGUUCAAUAGUGAAAGACGGUUUUGCUGUCACUUAUAGAUGGAUCCGCGCCGCAUUAGCUAGUUGGUAAGGUAACGGCUUACCAAGGCAACGAUGCGUAGCCGACCUGAGAGCGUGGUCGGCCACCCUGGAAGUGAGACACGGCCCAGACUCCUGCGGGAGGCAGCAGUAGGGAAUCUUCCGCAAUGGGGGAAAGCCUGACGGAGCAACGCGGCGUGAGUGAUGAAGGUCUUCGGCUCGUAAAACUCUGUUAUUAGUGAAGAACAAAUGUGUAAGUAACUAUGCACGUCUUGACGGUACCUAGUCAGAAAGCCACGGCUAACUACGUG